rnacentral:misc_RNA from 1 species
GGAAGGAUCAUUAACACUGCUUGGGAUUUCGUCCCGCUCAAACAACAUGUUGGCCCGGUGCGUCGUUGAAAUUUUAACUGGUUGCUCGAACGGCUAAAGUCUAUUUCUACAAACGAAAAACAACUCUUAGCAAUGGAUAUCUUGGUUCCCGUAACGAUGAAGAACGCAGCGAAAUGCGAUACGUAAUGCGAAUUGCAGAAUUCAGUGAAUCAUCGAAUCUUUGAACGCAAGUUGCGCUUUCGAGAGCCCUCGGAAGCAUGCCUCUCUGAGUAUCGGUUUCCACUACUUGGCUCUGAGCUAGUGAGUGUGGCUUUGUCCUCGUUCGCACGGGGCCCAUGCCGCUUGGUAUCACCGGGUGCCUGGUCUUCUUGAAGUCGCAUUCAAGAUCACGGAAUCAACCAACACAAAGAUCUCAGAUGAGGUAAGACUACCCGCCGAAUUUAAGCAUAUAAUUAAGCGGAGGAAAAGAAACUAACUAGGAUUCCCUCAGUAACGGCGAGUGAAGCGGGAAGAGCUCAAACCGAAAAUCUCUGUCGCAAGGCAGCGAAUUGUGGUCUAUUGAGGCGUGUCUCAGUGUCGGUCCCGGCCUAAGUCCAUUGGAACAUGGCAUCAGAGAGGGUGAGAAUCCCGUCUUUGGCUGGGGUGUUCCGGCGCGUUCGAGCCGUCCUCUAAGAGUCGGCUUGCUUGGGAGUGCAGGCCUAAGUGGGUGGUAAAUUUCAUCCAAAGCUAAAUACAUGCGGGAGACCGAUAGCGAACAAGUACCGUGAGGGAAAGAUGAAAAGAACUUUGAAAAGAGAGUCAAAAGUACUUGAAAUUGCUGGGAUCGAA